UACUGAUCCUGAGCUGUAAUGUGCUAAGCAAUUCGGAAGUAUGAUCUCAUUUAGUUCUCAAAAUGACACUUUAAGGUCUUACAGGACUUAUUUAACAAUUAAUUAAAAAUUUAAAUCAGAGAAAACCACAGUAAAAACUUAGUAUCAAAAAGCAUAAAGGAAAAAAGACUUUUUGCCGACCCUUGCUG